GUAGUUGAACUCUUGAGAUGCCCCCCUGCCCAAAACUCGUGACUCGAUUUACUCAACCGUGUGUCGCGCGUUCGAUUCGCGCCGGGGCCACCA
rnacentral:tRNA from 1 species